AUGCAAAGAACUUUGAAAAGAGAGUUAAAGAGUACCUGAAAUUGCUGAAAGGGAAGCGAAGGAAACCAGUGUCGGCUCGGUCAUAUUUCCCUGUCCGCUUGCGGAUUGGGCGCUGUGUCCGGCCUCGGUUGUUCUUGGUUGGGUCUGCUGGAAGAGCGCGGAGAGAGUUGAUCUCCGUUGCUAGCAGCGGUCCUGACUGAGGAGGACGAAAUGGUUUUCUUUACCCCGUCUUGAAACACGGACCAAGGAGUCUAACAUAUGUGCGAGUACAGGGGUGGCAAACCCCCGUGCGCAAUGAAAGUGACAGUGGUUGGACUUUUGCACAAUCCGCCGGCCUCAAUCCCUCGGGAGAACGGUCUGAGUGUGAGCAUACAUGUUGGGACCCGAAAGAUGGUGAACUAUGCCUGAAUAGGGUGAAGCCAGGGGAAACUCUGGUGGAGGCUCGUAGCGAUUCUGACGUGCAAAUCGAUCGUCAAAUUUGGGUAUAGGGGCGAAAGACUAAUCGAACCAUCUAGUAGCUGGUUCCCUCCGAAAUUUCCCUCAGGAUAGCUGCGAUCGGAGUUCAAUUUUAUCA
rnacentral:rRNA from 4 species